rnacentral:lncRNA from 1 species
CACUAUCAAAAUCAAAACCUAGAGGCCAGACACUCUUCGAGAGAGAGCAGGGAGGUUCGCACCCUCCAUUCUGACACACACGCCGUCGUCAACCUCCCGGACCGGCCACCGCAACGGUCCUCCCGCUCGGUCCAAGGCGUCACCGGCGACCAAACGCCACCAGAGCCACUGCUGGCCGCAGCACCAAAUCUUCUCUCUCGAUCCCCUUUUGUGUGUGAGAGGAGAACACACACCUUCUACCGCUGCCGACCACCAAUAAACACUCGGAAUGAGCUUA